CAAACAAACAAUAUGAACUAAAACUUAGCAUCUAACUCUUGAUAGAUAAAUACACUUUUCAUACACAAAACUUACCACUAGAAUCGCUUUUCAUGGCCCAUCAAGGUAUUCAAGAACAUCCUCCUUGUCCCCAGAAAAAUGGGAAUAAUCCCACUAUAUCACAAAAAAUCCAUCAAAAUGACACUACUUCGUCAACACACCAAAAGCUCUCAUAUUUGCUUUCUUCGUCUACUUCUGCUAAAGACUUGAGACUUUUGGAUGUAGGAAAAGCAGAAUUAGGCGAUUGCUCUUCUUCCAAUGAAGUUACGGGGACUUGUGGUAGAGACUCAAUGCAUGAAUUGCAACUACAAAAAAUCAAACAUU